GCGGACGUGGCGAAACUGGUAGACGCAAGGGACUUAAAAUCCCUCGACCUCGGUCAUACGGGUUCGAUCCCCGUCGUCCGCACCA
rnacentral:tRNA from 1 species